rnacentral:rRNA from 1 species
GAUGAACGCUGGCGGCGUGCUUAACACAUGCAAGUCGAGCGAAGCACUUAAGUUUGAUUCUUCGGAUGAAGACUUUUGUGACUGAGCGGCGGACGGGUGAGUAACGCGUGGGUAACCUGCCUCAUACAGGGGGAUAACGCACCGAAAGGUGCACUAAUACCGCAUGAGACCACAGCUCUGCAUGGAGCAGUGGCUAAAGGAGAAAUCCGGUGAAGGGUGGGCUCGCGUCCGAUUAGCUAGUUGGCAGGGUGAUAGCCUACCAAGGCGACGAUCGGUAGCCGACCUGAGAGGGUGAUCGGCCACAUUGGAACUGAGAUACGGUCCAA